rnacentral:tRNA from 1 species
GGAGGGCUAGUCCUAACUGGUAAGGCAGCGGACUUGAAAUCCGCCGGGGUAACACCCAUGGGGGUUCGAAUCCCUCGCCCUCCG